rnacentral:pre_miRNA from 1 species
GAGGGGUGGCGACGGGAGCAGAGCUCCUGGGAGUCGUCGGACUGGACGAACUGGAAACUCGCAACGCGUUUCUGCGCUGCGCACUUUCCUAUUCCAUCCAGUUCGAUGAUUUCCAUGGGCUCCUUCCUUCGCCCGCACCCA